GUGGGUAGUUCUGGAAAGAGAUAUUUCUGUAUACAGUAUCUCUUUCUGUCUAUGUUUGAAACAAACUGUAGUAAACGUAAAGGAUUUACAGUAUGUUACAGUUUUUAUGAACACACUGGUGGUCAGACUGGUCACUGGUUGUUAAUAAUUUCCUUACUAAAUCAAUAAUAUCGCUAAGUCACUCACAUCAACGUAUACAUACCACAUUUAUGAGAUCUUAUCUGAAUGUGUUUUUCUUUAUUUACUUAACCAUAUAAUCAGCAAAUAUAAAUAAUCAUUCAAUAUAGUCUCAGUUUUAUAUAUUUAUUGUUAGAAUUUCUUUUUUUUAUUUUUUUGGGGGGGAGAGGGGGAGGGGAAGCACUGAACAAAACUCUUAUUAUCAUUGAUUAUUGGUCCAUGGGAUCAAAAUGAUAAAUAAAAAAUGCCAAGUUAGAUACUUUAUAUACAUUUAACUUGGCAUAGCUACAAUUCAGCAUUAGGUUGUACAAGCCACCAGAUGAAACCAUCUGACACAGAGAACAUCAAGACUGCGUAAUGUAUGCAGUGCAGCCGCAAUAUGCAGAUUCAGGCAUUCAGAAAAGUCUGUUUUGUUUGGUAGAAAGGCGAUAGUUUUAUCCUGUGUUAUUCUUUAGUGUGGCCCAAGUGAAAUUCAUCCAGCAGAGCAGUCAAAGCAUGAGCUCACUUAUGCCACUAGAAAUGGGCUCAGGCAAAAGCAUGAUGAGAGUUGUGGUUCAUAUCUCUUUGGGAUCCUCCCCGUUUCUGCACUUCACGCAUGUCCACAUAUUCGGUGUUGUCUAGAUUACGCCAGUUUACAUUCCUCUGAAACAGUAAAAUCAUUUGUAUAUGAAGUACUGGUGUACCAGACCGACAACAUAGACGUAUUGCAUUACUGGCACAAAUACGGUGUUGGCCCAACAGAGGAAAGAACUUACCUGCAUUGGGACAUAGGUCAGUGUGUCAGAAGACUCGGGAUUCAUGGCCUGGAGAGGAAAACAAAAACGGCACAAUAUAUAAAUGCAUAUCAGCUCAACUGCAGGAUAUACAUGUAACUGUAUUAGACUUAGAAUAAUCAAACAUAGCUGAUGCCUAUAUUACAUUGUGAUUCCAUUAAGCUUUAUCUAUACUUAAAGAAUUAAAAAAAAAAAAAAUUAUAAGAAAAUUAGCUAAAAAUUUAUUCACUCUCAAGCCAGUGAAGGUGUAGAUGAGUUUGUUUUUCAUCAGAGACAAUUUUGCAUUACAUUGUUUGUUCACCAAUUGAUCCUCUGCAGUGAAAGGGUGCCGUCAGAAUGAGAGUCCAAAUAGCUGAUAGAAAUGACACAAUAACCCACACGACUCCAGUCCAUCAAUUAAUGUUUUAUGAAGCUGUGUGUUUGUAAGAAACAAAUCCAUUGUUGAGGCGAUUAACUUUAAACUCUUUCUAGUGGCCAAAAUAAUCCAUAAGAACUUUGCGGUGCUUGAUCUGUGCAUAUUUCUCUCCUGAUUGAGAGAACUAGGGCAAGCAAUACUAGGAUAGAGGACUACUUUAGCUGAAAGCAACUGUUUGAAGUUAAAAUGAUGGAUUGUUGUUUUUUUUAAACACACAGCUUCUCACUUCACAAGACAUUUACUGAGGGACUAGAGUCAUGUUGAUUACUUGUGAUGUUUUUUAAUCAGGACUUUCAUUUAGAUGGCACCCAUUCACUGCAGAGGAUCCACUGGUGAGCAUGUGAUAUUAUGCUAAAAUUUCUCCAAAUCUGUUCUGAUGAAGAAACAAACUCAUUUACAUCUUUGAAUGGCCUGAGGGUGAAAAUUUUCAUUUUUGGGUUAACUAUUCCUUAAAAAAAAAAGGUUUUCAAAGAUACUAAGUAAAGUUGACAAUUUUAUUAAACCCCCAAUAAACAGCAGAUGCUAAUGCUAAGAAGUAGUGCUUGCACACAAAAGACAGCAUGGAAAGCGUAAAACAGCAAUAAGUUAUUAUUUAUUAAGUGGUGCUUGCUUUAUAAAAGCAGUAAUGUCCUUGAGGC
ensembl:lncRNA